rnacentral:rRNA from 1 species
GUAAGCCAUCUGCACAAUCGCAGCAGAAAGAGGGAGAGAGGGCACUGGCGAGUGUCUAUGAAGGAAACAUCUUUUCUUUAGCGUAAACAGUUAGGGGAAAGACCCUAGGCAAGACCGGGGCCAGCCGCCGCGGUAACACCGGCAGCCCUAGUGGGGACCGAAUUAUUGGGGCUAAAGCGUUCGUAGCCUGAUAGGCAAGUCUUUGGGUAAAUCCUACGUCUUAAGCGGGGGACUUCUAAAGAUACUUCCUUCCUUGAGGCCGGGGGAGGCUAGAGGUACUCCUGGGGUAGGGGUAAAAUCCUAUAAUCCUAGGGGGACCACCGAUGGCGAAGGCUUCUAGUUGGAACGGGCCUGACGGUGAGGAACGAAACCCUUUUUUAGCGAGCCGGAUUAGAUACCCGGGUAGCCCUGGGGGGAAAGGAUGUGGGCUUGGUGUGGGGAUAUCGAAGUGGUUUCUUGUGCCGAAGGAAAGCCGUUAAGCCCACCGCCUGGGGGGUACGGCCGCAAGGUGGAAACUUAAAGGAAUUGGCGGGGGAAAGGGCAAAUUCGUUUAAACUUGCAGGACUAGUCCCUUAGUGGGGUUAAUUCUGAGCUUGGGUAUUCAUGGCAUAGCUGUUUCGGGA